CCUGUAUUCAGGUACAUAGAAAUUAGCUCAAAAUUGGGAGAAAGAGUGUAAAGAGAGAACUGGAUAGGCAGGUAUUUAAACUCUUGUCUGUGAGAAAAUAACUGGUUUGUGUUUUUCUUCUAGGGCGGCCCAGGUUCUUCCCACAGUUCUUACUCCGGUAACCAGGGAGGGUCUUCCUACUAUCCUGGUGGAUCUUAUGGACAGGGCGGCCCAGGUUCUUCCCACAGUUCUUACUCUGGUAACCAGGGAGGGUCUUCCUACUAUCCUGGUGGAUCUUAUGGACAGGGAGGGUCUUCUGUUUAUGAUGGUAGCAGUGAAUCCUAUGGUCAGGGUGGAUCUUCCGCGUAUAGUGGUGCUGAGUCCUAUGGCCAGGAUUCGCCUUCCCUAGGAGGCAGUGAAACUGCUGAGAGUGAUUCCUCCUCACCAGCUGGUAGCCGCCAGAGUGAACGGGAUUUUUAUUCCCCAGGAGGCAGCCAGUCAGGUGGACAUGGAUCAUCUUCUCAAGGUGGUGGCUACUCGAGUGGACAGGACUCGUCGUCAUCUGGAAGUAGCCAGUAUGGUGGGCAGGGUGCAUGUGAUUGUUCUGGGGGAAGUUCUGGUGGAUCCCCUACCUUAGUCAGAAGUGAUGCCUCUGCAAAUGACUCAUCUUCUUCUGGAGGCAGCCAGUACAGCAGCCAAGAUUCAUAUUCCUCAGGAGCUAGCCAGUAUGGAGGACAUGGGCCAUCUUCUUAUGGAGGCAGCCAAUAUGGUGGACAAGGUUCACCUUCCUCAGGAGGCAGCCAAUAUGGUGGACAGGUGAGAAUUCUUCCCUUGUGGUGCUUACUACUUCAUCAGAGACAUUCGAUAAACGUCU
rnacentral:lncRNA from 1 species